UUCAAAGACACUGCUUAUCUAAUAGGGGA
rnacentral:piRNA from 1 species